AUGGAAUUGAAAUUUGAUGCACCGCGGAAAAGCGAGUUACUUGCCCUGAGCAAAUAUAACGUUAAUGGUAAGGAUAAAGCAAUUAUAGUAAGAAAUGAUUAUCCGAAGCCCCCUGUCCCUUGUUUUGAAAUCACUGAGGAUUUUGAUUUGGCAAAGGUUGAGGAGCUUAUGCUAGAAAGGGAUAUUAAGAUCGCCAAGUCCAUGGCAAAUGACAUAAUCAUCCCAGACCCUGCUCCCAAGUGGGUGGGUGAUGCCUUCUUGGACAUAUAUGCCAAAUUGGAGCACAUCCUUGUAAAGGAUAGUGUCCAGUGCUUCCUCCGAUUUUUCGAGAACUGUGAAGGUCAGGGCAUGUCAUCUUAUCUUACCAUCACCGCACAAACCUUAACCUUCAUUGUCAGUUUCAAUGCCCUGCGAUGUGCAAAAGUCGUAUUGGAGGGCAUGGCACCUGAGCUCUAUGGGAUGCACGCCAAUCCCAACUGCAUAAACAAAUAUGGAUACUUCGUGCUCCAUGAAGCUGCUGAAAGGUUCUCUGUUGACAUGAUCAAGUUGCUUUUACGCCAUGGUGCAUCAGCCAAUGUGCGCACAGUUGGCAAUGAUGUCAUUGAGAAUCUACUCCCGCUCCAUGUCGCAGUUGAGAAUACUUGUCUGCAUAAGUAUCUAGAGGACAAUCUGGAGUACAAUCUUUCUUGCAGCCAGAAUCAUCUGGAUUAUGUCUACAAGCUUAUUCAUCUACUGUGUCUACCUGAAAUGAAGAUCUUCUUGGACACAACUAGACUGCUUGCAGAGAAAACAAAUAAUGUAUUUCAAGAGCUCUGCAAUUACAUUGAGGAUGGAAAAAUCAUCCAGUCUGCUGUUCUACUACUGGCUGCUCAAGAGCAGAUCCGUGGGGGCAGUUCUUCCAAGAUAAAUGGCAGUAGUAAGAAAAAUGGGUUUGACCUUGUCAGUAACUGUAUAAUGAGGCUUUCAUUUUCCUUGAGAUGGGAGAAAGGUUCACAUGGAAUGGCACCGGAGCUUCUGGAGGAAAGGAAGGCACUUACUGAUUGCGCAUGGCUGCUUGUUGAUGUAAUUUCCUAUGCCGGUGAAAAUCUGUCUGCAUACAUUCAAGCACAUUCUGAGGUGCCCAAUGUGGAGGUCUUUCAACACGUUUCAUCUAUCCUCAAGGAGUAUGGAUUUUGCCCCACUGGAGAUCCCAUGGACGCUGUAAACCUCUAG
rnacentral:rRNA from 1 species